ACAUCCUGUACGACGUCGGGGUCUACGGCUGCCAGGGCUGCUGCAGCUUCAAGUGUCUCAACAGCGGCCUCCUCUUUGCCAGCCGCUACCCCAUCAUGGACGUGGCCUAUCACUGUUACCCCAACAAGUGUAACGACGAUGCCCUGGCCUCUAAGGGAGCUCUGUUUCUCAAGGUGCAGGUGGGAAGCACACCUCAGGACCAAAGAAUCGUCGGGUACAUCGCCUGCACACACCUGCAUGCCCCGCAAGAGGACAGCGCCAUCCGGUGUGGGCAGCUGGACCUGCUUCAGGACUGGCUGGCUGAUUUCCGAAAAUCUACCUCCUCGUCCAGCGCAGCCAACCCCGAGGAGCUGGUGGCAUUUGACGUCGUCUGCGGAGAUUUCAACUUUGAUAACUGCUCCUCUGAAAUCCUAGAACAGGAAGAGCCCACGCUCUGCCUAGAAAGCUGGAGACAGAGAUGCCCUAAAAACGAACCUCUGACAAGGAAGGCUGGGGGCCUCUGAAGCAGACAAAGGACGAGUCCACUAGUAACACCCAUCAACGGGGCGCCGCGCUCUUGCUUCGAGCCAGCUGCCAUUCUAUCGCU
rnacentral:sRNA from 1 species